rnacentral:rRNA from 1 species
UACGUAGGGUGCAAGCGUUGUCCGGAAUUAUUGGGCGUAAAGAGCUUGUAGGCGGUUUGUCGCGUCUGCGGUGAAAUUUCGGGGCUCAACCCCGAACUUGCAGUGGGUACGGGCAGACUAGAGUGUGGUAGGGGAGACUGGAAUUCCUGGUGUAGCGGUGAAAUGCGCAGAUAUCAGGAGGAACACCGAUGGCGAAGGCAGGUCUCUGGGCCAUAACUGACGCUGAGAAGCGAAAGCAUGGGGAGCGAACAGG